AAAGAUUAAGCCAUGCAUGUCUAAGUAUAAGCAAUUAUACAGCGAAACUGCGAAUGGCUCAUUAUAUAAGUUAUCGUUUAUUUGAUAGUACCUUACUACUUGGAUAACCGUGGUAAUUCUAGAGCUAAUACAUGCUAAAAAUCCCAACUUCGGAAGGGAUGUAUUUAUUAGAUUAAAAACCAAUGCCCUUCGGGGCUCCUUGGUGAUUCAUGAUAACUCUUCGAAUCGCAUGGCCUUGUGCCGGCGAUGGUUCAUUCAAAUUUCUUCCCUAUCAACUUUCGAUGUUUGGGUAUUGGCCAAACAUGGUUGCAACGGGUAACGGAGGGUUAGGGCUCGACCCCGGAGAAGGAGCCUGAGAAACGGCUACUACAUCCAAGGAAGGCAGCAGGCGCGCAAAUUACCCAAUCCCGACACGGGGAGGUAGUGACAAUAAAUACUGAUACAGGGCUCUUUUGGGUCUUGUAAUUGGAAUGAGUACAAUUUAAAUCCCUUAACGAGGAACAAUUGGAGGGCAAGUCUGGUGCCAGCAGCCGCGGUAAUUCCAGCUCCAAUAGCGUAUAUUAAAGUUGUUGUGGUUAAAAAGCUCGUAGUUGAACCUUGGGCCUGGCUGGCCGGUCCGCCUCACCGCGUGUACUGGUCCGGCCGGGCCUUUCCCUCUGUGGAACCCCAUGCCCUUCACUGGGUGUGGCGGGGAAACAGGACUUUUACUUUGAAAAAAUUAGAGUGCUCCAGGCAGGCCUAUGCUCGAAUACAUUAGCAUGGAAUAAUAGAAUAGGACGUGUGGUUCUAUUUUGUUGGUUUCUAGGACCGCCGUAAUGAUUAAUAGGGACAGUCGGGGGCAUCAGUAUUCAAUUGUCAGAGGUGAAAUUCUUGGAUUUAUUGAAGACUAACUACUGCGAAAGCAUUUGCCAAGGAUGUUUUCAUUAAUCAGGAACGAAAGUUAGGGGAUCGAAGACGAUCAGAUACCGUCGUAGUCUUAACCAUAAACUAUGCCGACUAGGGAUCGGACGAUGUUAUUUUUUGACUCGUUCGGCACCUUACGAGAAAUCAAAGUGCUUGGGCUCCAGGGGGAGUAUGGUCGCAAGGCUGAAA
rnacentral:rRNA from 1 species